UGGGCACUCUGCGGAGACUGCCGGUGAUAAACCGGAGGAAGGUGGGGAUGACGUCAAGUCAGCAUGGCCUUUAUGUCUGGGGCUACACACGUGCUACAAUGGCCGGUACAAACCGUCGCGAUCUCGCGAGAGGGAGCUAAUCGGAGAAAGCCGGUCUCAGUUCGGAUUGCAGGCUGCAACUCGCCUGCAUGAAGUUGGAAUCGCUAGUAAUCGCGGAUCAGCACGCCGCGGUGAAUACGUUCCCGGGCCUU
rnacentral:rRNA from 1 species